rnacentral:lncRNA from 1 species
GAAAGGGUUCUGCACUCAGGCAGUGUUUACAUCGAACCAGAAAUAGCAUCAAUAGCCAACUUACUACAUGAUGAGCUUUUCCACGUGCUAACUCUCUGAGUCCUCGCAACCCUCUGUGGGGAGUUUUCUCCUUAGCUCCAUUUUGGAAAUGGGGGAACUGAGCCAACGACAGGUUGAGUAACUUGCUAGAGGUCAAGUUAGUAUUGAGAGCCAGGAUCUGAACCCAGGCAGUGUAGCUCCUGAGCUUAGGUGCUGAACAACUGUGCUAUUAUGGGAUUUAGCGGAGAUGGAACUCAGUGGUGGCCUAGGUCAGAUACGUGGGGAAGGAGGCUGAGCUCCUUGUCUGGCCUGGUCUGAACUCUGAGAGGCAGGGUUGUGGCAGACGGCUGGCUCGGGAAGGAAUUCAGGCCAGAACCAAAGAUCUGAAGUUCAAUCGUCUUGCGGACAGAAGCAAAGAACCACAGAGGCAGCUCAGAUACAUUUGCCUGAUUCCCAGGGCCCUUGCUGGCAGGAAGAGGCAUCCAGAUUGCAGAUGUACUUGUUCCUGUUCCUGGCAAGACCCACUUCCCACCGUGACUGACAAGUUUUGGACCCAGUGGCAACGUGGAGUAGAAGAAAGAGCAUGGAUUUUAGAAUGAGACUGGCUCCCCGACUCAUUAGCCUGCAAGUUCCUUAACCUUUGUAAGAUGCAUUUUCCUCCCUUAUUUGUAAAAUGAGGUUUACUAAGAUCUACCCUGAGAAGCUAUCGUAAGGAAUGCCUAAGCUAGUACUGGCACACAGCUGCAGCUCAAUGAAUGGUAGAGAUUUUCCAAACGCAUUGACAUCCUGAUUUGUCAAUCAGUCUUUUGUGAGUUCGUCUUGCAGCCAUGGAGUAGCAACAGAGUCAAGGUUCCCAGCACCACACACCAAAUCCAGUUCCCUUCAGGCUGCAUCUCCGGUUUGUUGGACCUUGGUUUUCCAUGUGUUUUUUUAGCUUUGUUUACUUUCUUGCCACCAGCUCCAAGGAACCCCCAGCCCCUGACUGAGCCAGGCUCUAUCCACCACCCCUUGGAGGGCCAGAGGGAUUCAGGCUCAACCAGCCUUCCUGUCCUUUCUCUCGCUGUGCUCCCAACUUCCAUUUUUCGCUACUGGAUCUAUUGGCCAGAUCUUCCCCAUCAGACCAAAAAGAGGAUGGGAACAACUAUUCAGAUAAUUCAGACACUUAUUCAAGCAAAAAUGAUGAUACUUCUCCUCCUGAAUGAUCCGGAUAGUUGUUUUAAUUCUCAGCUUCACUUUGUCUCUGGAGCCCCAGGCUCUUCUUUGUUCCGUGACUCUAGUUAAAAUUCGGUCCCAGUGAUAAAUAUUUCUGAUCUAAUUGUUUCUUCCACUCCUGUUCCACAGGGGGUGUUUUCAGGGAAAAGGAUCUGUAGGUAAAUGAGAAUUAACUUCAAGCCUGGGCAAUGUUAGAAUCAAAAUAAAGCUGUCAUGGCAGACCUGCUAUCUACAUUUCACUUUCUGGAAGCGCCCCACUCUAUUUCAUCCCUCCCCAACCCCUGACACACGCAGCAGCAAGGAACAAAUCACCAUUUAUUAAACUCUAAUUAUCUCUCCCGUUUCUCAGUACCAUUCUCUGUGUAUGCCUGCCGCACACAAGCCUGUACUGCACUGCCAUUAAAUGAGCACUAGUCUUGUUAGCAUAGCAUCCGUAUUUAUAGACAAGGUUCAGCGGUGCUGUAGUGACAGGGUGCAAAGUCAAAUGCCCUUAAUAGAAUGCUAGGGACAUGUCCUCAUCCUGGAGCCAUCUAGGCACAUGGCAGAUGGAGGGGAUUUGAGGGGACUUAGCAAAGACUUAGGCUGUUUUGAGACAGUUUUAAGCCUUUCAUGGGAGUCUAUAAAAGUUCAAGCAGAGACACCACCCUUUGGGAGAAAAGCCCAUGCUUCUUUCUUUGGGUGUCACAGAGAUCAG